rnacentral:rRNA from 1 species
CGAAUGCUGACAUAAGUAACGAUAAAGCGGGUGAAAAGCCCGCUCGCCGGAAGACCAAGGGUUCCUGUCCAACGUUAAUCGGGGCAGGGUGAGUCGACCCCUAAGGCGAGGCCGAAAGGCGUAGUCGAUGGGAAACAGGUUAAUAUUCCUGUACUUGGUGUUACUGCGAAGGGGGGACGGAGAAGGCUAUGUUGGCCGGGCGACGGUUGUCCCGGUUUAAGCGUGUAGGCUGGUUUUCCAGGCAAAUCCGGAAAAUCAAGGCUGAGGCGUGAUGACGAGGCACUACGGUGCUGAAGCAACAAAUGCCCUGCUUCCAGGAAAAGCCUCUAAGCAUCAGGUAACAUCAAAUCGUACCCCAAACCGACACAGGUGGUCAGGUAGAGAAUACCAAGGCGCUUGAGAGAACUCGGGUG